ACGGAGGGUGCAAGCGUUGUUCGGAAUUACUGGGCGUAAAGAGCGCGUAGGCGGUUUUGUAAGUCAGACGUGAAAGCCCUGGGCUUAACCCAGGAGGUGCGUUUGAAACUAUGAGACUCGAGGACCAGAGAGGUGAGUGGAAUUCCUAGUGUAGAGGUGAAAUUCGUAGAUAUUAGGAGGAACACCAGUGGCGAAGGCGGCUCACUGGCUGGUAACUGACGCUGAGGCGCGAAAGCGUGGGGAGCAAACAGG
rnacentral:rRNA from 1 species